CAUUUGUAGAUCUGAUCAACGGCCCGAGUGUGAACUGACACUUUCAAGUUGGCUCCGUGCACAAGGAUGGAAAAGUACAUGUCAAAGUGAUCCAGUAUAAAUGUGCAUCCUUCUUCUUGCAGCACUGUUCGAGCAUCUAGAAAUAUUUCACAUUGGGCUGAAGGAGAUCAUCCUUGUCCGAAGGUAUCACAAAGUCUAGGACGACCAUGUCAACUGUGCAUAAAAUUCAGAAAAUCUUCGAAACACAAUAUUUAUGAACGUACGCGGUCCUUCUUCUGACCGAUUGGCGUCGUCCGUUACUGUCAGUGUUUACUGUCAUUUGAAUUCA
rnacentral:misc_RNA from 1 species